rnacentral:rRNA from 1 species
GGAGGUAGUACAAUAAAUCACAAUGCGGGACUGUUAGUCUUGCAAUUGGAUUGAGAACAACGUACAACUCUUAUCGAUAAGCCAUUGGAGGGCAAGUCUGGUGCCAGCAGCCGCGGUAAUUCCAGCUCCAAUAGCGUAUAUUAACGUUGUUGCAGUUAAAAAGCUCGUAGUUGAAGUGAGGGAGUGUGUGUUCAUGAGAGCUAGUCUCGAGUGUUCACAACCUCCCCCCUCCAAUCGGUGUAGUGGGGUAUUCAGUUCAGUUAUUUCACUACUCCUUUGGUCGUUUACUGUGAGAAAAUUAGAGUGUUCAAAGCGGGCGUUUGUUUGAAUAGAUUAGCAUGGAAUAAUGAUUGAAGGCUUUCGUGUUCGAUUUGAUUGGUUUGUUCAUGGAAGCAAGGUUAAAAGGAACAGUUGGGGGUAUUCAUAUUCACUAGUUAGAGGUGAAAUUCUCGGAUUUAUGGAAGAUGAACA